AUCCCUGUAGUGCAAUGGAUAGCGUGUUGAACUUCUAAUCCAAAGGUCGAGGCUUUGAAUCCCACCUGGGAUG